GUACAGUGGCGAACGGGUGAGUAACACGUGGGCAACCCGCCCCGGAGAGAGGGACAACCCGAGGAAACUCGGGCUAAUACCUCAUGAUCCGGCCCGACUUAAGUCGGGCCGGCAAACGGUAGCUUCGGCCUCCGCUCUGGGAUGGGCCCGCGCCGGAUUAGCUAGUUGGUUGGGGUAAUGGCCCACCAAGGCGACGAUCCGUAGCUGGUCUGAGAGGACGAUCAGCCACACUGGGACUGAGACACGGCCCAGACUCCUACGGGAGGCAGCAGUGGGGAAUCUUGCGCAAUGGGCGAAAGCCUGACGCAGCAACGCCGCGUGAGGGAAGAAGGCCUUCGGGUUGUAAACCUCUUUCAGGAGGGACGAAGCCACCAGGGUUAAUAGCCUAUGGGGUGACGGUACCUUCAGAAGAAGCCCCGGCUAACUACGUGCCAGCAGCCGCGGUAAUACGUAGGGGGCAAGCGUUGUCCGGAAUUAUUGGGCGUAAAGCGCGUGUAGGCGGCUUGGUAAGUCUGGCGUGAAAUCUUGGGGCUCAACCCCAAGCCUGCGUUGGAUA
rnacentral:rRNA from 1 species